UGGCGGCGUGCCUAACACAUGCAAGUCGAACGGACUGAUCUCUCGGAGAAGAAAGUCAGUGGCGGACGGGUGAGUAACGCGUGAGUAACCUGCCUUACAGAGGGGGGAUAAACGUUUGGAAACGAACGCUAAUACCGCAUAACAUACGAUUGUCGCAUGGCAGACGUAUCAAAGGAGCAAUCCGCUGUAAGAUGGACUCGCGUCCGAUUAGAUAGUUGGCGGGGUAACGGCCCACCAAGUCGACGAUCGGUAGCCGGACUGAGAGGUUGAUCGGCCACAUUGGGACUGAGACACGGCCCAGACUCCUACGGGAGGCAGCAGUGAGGGAUAUUGCACAAUGGGCGCAAGCCUGAUGCAGCCAACGCCGCGUGAGGGAUGACGGUUUUCGGAUUGUAAACCUCUGUCUUCGGUGAUGAUAAUGACAUUAGCCGAGGAGGAAGCCACGGCUAACUACGUGCCAGCAGCAGC
rnacentral:rRNA from 1 species